UCCACGCCGUAAACGAUGUCUACUAGCCGUUGGGGGACUUGAUCCCUUAGUGGCGCAGCUAACGCAAUAAGUAGACCGCCUGGGGAGUACGGUCGCAAGAUUAAAACUCAAAUGAAUUGACGGGGGCCCGCACAAGCGGUGGAGCAUGUGGUUUAAUUCGAUGCAACGCGAAGAACCUUACCAGGUCUUGACAUCCUGAGAAUCUUGUAGAGAUACGAGAGUGCCUUCGGGAA
rnacentral:rRNA from 1 species